UGCCGCGGUUACACGGGGGACUCAAGUUGAUAGACAACGGCGUAAAGCGUGGUUACGGACCUCCCCCAACUAAAGUCAAACACCCCUCCAGACUGUCAUACGCCUCCAGGGAACGGAUGCCCUUCCACGAAAGUGACUUUAACACCACUCCCGAACCCACGUGAGCUAGGAAA
rnacentral:rRNA from 1 species